UAUGCAUAGGAGAUAUUUCAAGUGAGACCC
rnacentral:piRNA from 1 species